rfam:Photobacterium sp. 13-12 scaffold9, whole genome shotgun sequence.
ACAUCACCAUCAUCAUCCUGACUAGUCUUUCGGGAGGAUACGCCUCGCUCUGGAAGACGGACAAAAACUCUUCCAGCGGUCAUUAGAAAUAACAGAAUUCAGACCCUCGGAAGAACUCACUUCCGAGGGUUUUUUCGU